rnacentral:rRNA from 1 species
UAAAGAUCCGUCGGAUGGGGAUAGGCUCGCGUGACAUUAGCUAGACGGCGGGGUAACGGCCCACCGUGGCGACGAUGUCUAGGGGUUCUGAGAGGAAGGUCCCCCACACUGGAACUGAGACACGGUCCAGACUCCUACGGGAGGCAGCAGUGAGGAAUAUUGGUCAAUGGCCGGAAGGCUGAACCAGCCAUGCCGCGUGAAGGUCAGUGCCCUAUGGGCGUUAAACUUCUUUUGUGCGGGAGCAAUAAUGGUCACGUGUGGCCAGACGAGAGUACCGUACGAAUAAGCAUCGGCUAACUCCGUGCCAGCAGCCGCGGUAAUACGGGGGAUGCAAGCGUUAUCCGGAUUUAUUGGGUUUAAAGGGUGCGUAGGCUGUGAGGUAAGUCAGCGGUGAAAUGCCCCCGCUCAACGGGGUGAAGUGCCAUUGAUACUGCCUUGCUGGAAUGCGGAUGCCGUGGGAGGAAUGUGCGGUGUAGCGGUGAAAUGCAUAGAUAUCACACAGAACACCGAUUGCGAAGGCAUCUCACGAAUCCGCGAUUGACGCUGAUGCACGAAAGCGUGGGUAUCAAACAGGAUUAGAUACCCUGGUAGUCCACGCUGUAAACGAUGAUGACUAACCGUCGGCGAUACACAGUC